AGAGUUUGAUCCUGGCUCAGGGUGAACGCUGGCGGUGUGCCUAAUGCAUGCAAGUCGAGCGGACUAGCAGGUUUCGGCCUGCUGGUUAGCGGCGGACGGCUGAGGAACGCGUAGGUGACCUGCCCUGUGGAGGGGGACAACCCCGGGAAACCGGGGCUGAUACCGCAUGAGGUCCCUGGUCUGAGGACUGGGGAGGAAAGCUCGAAAGGGCGCCACGGGAGGGGCCUGCGUCCCAUCAGGUAGUUGGGGGGGUAAUGGCCUCCCAAGCCGACGACGGGUAGCUGGUCUGAGAGGACGAUCAGCCAGAGGGGGACUGAGACACGGCCCCCACUCCUACGGGAGGCAGCAGCAGGGAAUCUUGCGCAAUGGGCGAAAGCCUGACGCAGCGACGCCGCGUGGGGGAAGAAGGCCUUCGGGUCGUAAACCCCUUUUCCGGGGGACGAGCAAGGACGGUACCCCGGGAAGAAGCCCCGGCUAACUACGUGCCAGCAGCCGCGGUAAGACGUAGGGGGCGAGCGUUACCCGGAAUUACUGGGCGUAAAGGGCGUGUAGGUGGCCCGAGAGGUCGUUGGUGAAAGACCCCGGCUCAACCGGGGGGCGGCUGACGAUACCGUCGGGCUAGAGGACAGCAGAGGCGGGUGGAAUUCCCGGUGGAGCGGUGAAAUGCGUAGAUAUCGGGAGGAACACCAGUGGCGAAGGCGGCCCGCUGGGCUGGUCCUGACGCUGAGGCGCGAAAGCGUGGGGAGCGAACCGGAUUAGAUACCCGGGUAGUCCACGCCGUAAACGAUGAGUACUAGCUGUUCGCGGUAUCGACGCCGCGAGUAACGAAGCUAACGCGUUAAGUACUCCGCCU
rnacentral:rRNA from 1 species